rnacentral:rRNA from 1 species
UACGUAGGGUGCGAGCGUUGUCCGGAUUUAUUGGGCGUAAGGGCUCGUAGGCGGCCUGUCGCGUCGGGAGUGAAAGCCCACUGCUUAACGGUGGUCUGCUUCCGGUGACGGGCGGCUGGAGUGUGGCAGGGGAGACGUGGAAUUCCUGGUGUAGCGGUGGAAUGCGCAGAUAUCAGGAGGAACACCGGUGGCGAAGGCGGGUCUCUGGGCCAUUACUGACGCUGAGGAGCGAAAGCGUGGGGAGCGAACAGG